GAAGAGAAAAUGAUUGCAAGUUUUCUGAAGUUUUUGUUGUUGUUCGGGGUCGUGUUUCCUUGUUUAGUAUUAUCAGAAUUUUACUCCUCGGAAGCUGGGAGAGAUGAAUGGGAAAGAAUUGUUGGCGGUACAAAAGCGAAAAAUGGUUCUAUCCCGUACCAAGUUUCGUUGAGGAUUUGGGGUGUUUGGCACUUUUGUGGAGCGUCUUUAGUUACUCCUAGAGUGAUUCUUACGGCUGCCCAUUGUGUUGACAGAUUAAAACCAGAAUACUUCCAAGCCGUAGUAGGCACAAACCAACUAAGGUCUGGAGGUAAAGCAUAUCCCAUUCGCAAGGUAGUUCGCCAUGAGGAGUAUGAUGAUGACGUCAUCAAGAACGACAUAGCCAUAGUGUUCACUAAAGAGGAGAUUGAGUUUGGAGACACGGUGGAUGCUAUAGAGUUGAAUGACGAACCAGUUGAGAAGGGAGAGGAUUUAAUUCUGACCGGAUGGGGCACCACUUCUUACCCUGGUCGUCUACCAAACGACCUGAUGCAGUUGGAAUUGAAGGCCAUCACUUAUGAAGAGUGCAAGGAGGCUCAUAAGAACAUUAACCCUGUUUUUGAGUCGCAAAUAUGUGCUCUAACUAAAGCAGGAGAAGGGGCUUGUCAUGGCGACUCAGGCGGCCCGUUAGUAAGAGAGCUUCGCCAAGUGGGUAUCGUAUCAUGGGGCAUCCCCUGUGCUCGGGGCAAGCCUGAUGUUUAUACUAAGGUGGAGGCAUUCAUGCCUUGGAUCGAGAAGACCUUGAAUGACGACGACGAAGACCAUUGGAAGUACCUCAACAAAAGGAGGAGGACCAAUCGACACUUUUAGAUGUGCUUAGAGGAGUGGUCCCCAAUCGGUGAUACAUUUACCCCUGGAGGUAAAUAAGUUCUCCUCAAUUAGUGGUAUACUUACCCCUAGAGGUAAAUAAAUGGGCCCCAAUUAGUGAUAUACUUACCCCUAAAAGUAAAUAAAGUGGUCCCCAAUUAGUGGUAUACUUACCCCUAGAGGUAAAUAAGCCAUAUAGGUUAGCCUAAGAUAAGAAUUAUAUCUUUUUUGCAAUUUGAG
rnacentral:misc_RNA from 1 species